GGGGUUGUGGCUCAGUGGUAGAGCCCUUGCCUAGCUCUUGCCUAGCUCGCGAGAGGCCCUGGGUUCGAUCCUCAGCACCA
rnacentral:tRNA from 1 species